GCCAGGUGUGGUGGCUCACGCCUGUGGUCCCAGCACUUUGGGAGGCUGAGGCAGGAGGAUUGCUUGAGCCCAGGAGUUCAAGACCAGCUUGGGCAACAUGGCAAGACCCUGUCUCUACAAAAAUAAAAAUAAAAUUAGCUGGGAAUGGUGGUGCAUACCUGUGGUUCCAGCUACUCAAAAGGCUGGGCAGGAGGAACACUUGAGCUCGGGAGGUGGAGGCUGCAGUGAGCCAUGAUCAUGCCUCUGUACUCCAGCCUGAGAAACAGAGCAAGCCCCUGUCUCA
rnacentral:sRNA from 1 species